ACUUCUGGAUCCUGCUCGGGCUGUGAUAGGACAGCGCGGGGGCAGCGGGGGAACACGCGGGCACGCCGAGAUCCGGCGCUCGGGACCCCGAUGAGGGGAGGCCUUUCACUCCUGGGGUGUCACGCGACCCACGCUUUCCUCCAUGUCCACUCCCACCCCCCAUGGGUUCCACUUUGCUGUCCCCCGAGCUGCCGCUCCUCCCCAGCAGACACCGUCUCCGCCGGGGCUGCCGACCCCCGGAGAGGCCCCGAGCGGCGUGGGCGGCGGGAGGAGGGAGCUGUGAAGCCGCAGGCAGGGGGUUAGGCUGCGGGCUGCUGAGACGCCGAGCUGUUUCUCAGAAGUGCAGCUGCCCCUCCCCUCACACCCCCCUCACUCCCACCGCGCGCCGCACCCCUGCCCCCUCUCCGCCGGCCUCCCUUUCCUCUCCCAGGCACCCUAGCCGGGAAUCUGGGGUCUGGGUCCACGCAGAAUUAAGAGGAGAACCUGAGAAAGGGCGGGGGCCGGGGGUUCAGACCCAGCCUCAGCGCGCGUUAUUCCGAGCCUCCUAUAAUUCCACAGGUGAGGGGAUCCUGUCCCCUACCCCUGGGGUCCAGGAUUGGAAUUUGAUAGAACAGUUAGGAAAAUGACAUCUUGAGAGAGUCAGGGCCCGGCCACUAUUACUCUAGCUCCAGCGUCCAGUGAGGAGAGGAGAGAGAGGGAAGACCUGGAGCCCGGCUGGUGCAGUGAGGUUGAGGCCUGUCUUAGGAGUACCAGCUGGAAGGCCCUUCAGAGAUCCCUGACUCUGGGGAAAAUCAACGCCCAGAAGGGGAAGUCAAGUGUCUGGGCUCAUCCCGAGAGGGAGAGGGCUGGGAUUGGAACCAGGACUCCAAAUAGUUGCGGGAGUCUGCGACUGUCUUUUGCUUGGGACUUCAGAGCUUUGCUGGAUUCACUGACUCAGCCUGCUUUCCCUCAACACACACAAACACACACACACGAGACACGUGCACGCGCGCACACACACAGAUACACAGACACACACAGACAGACAUGCAAGGAGAGAGACAGGCACACAUGGAGACAGACACGCACACGCAAAGAGACACACAGCUCCCCAGGAGUCUAGCGGGGCAGCUGAGGUCUGU
rnacentral:lncRNA from 1 species